rnacentral:lncRNA from 1 species
AUAAAGCCAUCCAGAACACAUAAAUACACCUAAGAGACAUUUAAAUGUAAUUUUAAUAUGAAAAUUUGGAAUUUUAACUCUAUAAAUUGAUCAUAUAAUUUACUAUUUCUACAUGCAAGCGUGGAAAAACAUGGCUGAAAUUUUAAAGUUUGUUUAUUUUCUAAUUAUUUUUCUUUUCGUAUGUAUCAUUGUAGACGGUAAGUUCAUUUUCUAAAAAAUGUAAAAGAAAUUUUUUCUCAAUAUUAUUCACAUGUUUCACUUCAUAUUAUUAACAUUUAUUUAUUUUAUUUGAUGUCACAGGAGUUUAUUUUUGCGAAAAAGAUAAAGAUUGUCCUAUACCUAUGUGUUUCCCAAACGAAAAUCCAAAGUGCGUAAAAAUGAUUUGUCGUUGUGUGUAAUAGUAGAAAUAAUGUUUGAAAAUGGCUCAAUGGUUUUCCUAAUAUUAUGUUUUUUUAUUUAAAAUAUAUGUUGUAUUUUUAUGAUUUCUCACACAGUUCAAUCUUUGUUCGUCAACUUUAAAUUUAUUUGAUUGAGUCAAAAGCAUAUUAUUGUAUUAUACAAGUGUUGUUACAUUGUUUUCGUCCUCAGAGGAUAUUGAUAAUAAUAUCAUUAUACAAUUAAAACUAUUUUUCUUUCCAUUGAGCGUAAGAUUAGUGUGUGAUAUUAUUACAUAUGUGUUGGAGUGAACCUUGUAGAUAAUCAAGUGUAUUAUGACUUAUGGGACUAAACUAUAAGCUUAACUCAAACACU